UGUGAACUGCAGGACACAUGAACAUCGACAUUUUGAACGCAUAUUGCGGUCCAUACUGACUAGUUUCUUUAAUGAAGCUGUAUGGACCACACAUGGUUGAGGGUCGUUAGUUUAUGCUAACUAAAUUGCUUUUGUUUAUCAAAAGCGAAACCAUGAGGUGUUGCCAAUCUUCAGUGCAUUGGCAUCCCUUGAAGUUACCAUCAUUUGGUACACGAUUUUCAUUUCAAUAUAUCAUUUUAUAUUGAAAUUAUAUAAUUGUGUCGAAUGCUUGUUUUAUCAAAGAAAACAAAUAUUACAUUUUGAACGCAUUUUGAAAUUAGUAAGCUUUGAUUAAGCGUAUACCAUAAUAGUUUACGUAUUUGAAUGCAUGCUGAAAGUUUCAUAGAUUGUGAAUAUUUAUUCGUUAAUUUUCUUGAUAUUACUACCCAAUAAAUGUUGAAAGCGGGUAGCAUUUGGCAUAAUGUGUAAUUUCUUGUACAUGAUAGAAAAGAAUUUCUGAUUUGAAUUUUAAAGCGACCUCAA
rnacentral:rRNA from 1 species